AUUAACUCUAUUUUAUAUAUGAUAUACUUGAUACUUUCUUACAAUUUUAUUCACACAUUACCACUUUAUACUAUUCAUUACAACAAAUUAAAUAAUUUGGUAAAAAACAGCAAAACAUUGUAUUAAAUGGUAAAGAAGUUGGAUUCAUACUUGCUAGUUGCUACUUACAAACAAUUUUUAUGUUGAUGAGAGGUUGAGGUUCACUUGGUAUGGAUGAUAGGUUAGAAUUUCAUCUGGAUGACACAUUAUCAAUAUACUAAGUACAAAUAACAAUAAAUAGAAUGCCUAUAAAAAUGUGUAAAUUGUUAGCAUGAUUCAUGAAACAAUCAAUCUUCUCCAAUACUAACAUAUAUGAACAAAAUGAUCUCAAGUAUAAGCAUGUGUGUGUGUGCAUUUGGAUGUGUGUGUCGGUGCGGGUAUUCGUUAGAGAGAGAGAGAGUAUUGAGUGGGAGAGAGGGAAAAAAAUGAUGACGGACAAUAGGAGGAGAACUAGAUAGAAAAAACGCUCACCUUUCCGUUUAUGGGAGGAAAACUUGUUUAUGUUUUGUAUUUGAAGUUAUAAAAACAUUAUUUUACCAAACUUCUUAUUUGUGCAAUUUGAAUAUUCUUAAAUAGUUAUUAGCAUGUAAAUAUUCUGUAUUAUAUACUACAUAUAUGAAUGCAAAUAAUAUUUACAUGACUAAGCCAUUUUCUAGAUGGUGUUUUGUGAGUCUACAAACAACCAAUCUCUAAUUGCUGUACAACGUCUUUGGAAAGUCUUCUUUCUUGUAAUAUUUUGAAAGAUAAAAUCUAUGUCUAACUAGUAACUUUACAUCAAAAUAAAACAAUACAGAAGGCUUAAAUAUAAAUAUUAUUUGACCACCUGCAGUUGGGGUAUUUGGGCGUGGAUUGGGCCCAAAACGCCCCACAACGGUAGGCCAAUCGCCUCUAUGGGCAUUUUUCUUCGUGGUUUGGCUUGGGCGUGGCCCUAAAAACGCCAGGUUGAAAAAGUCUUGACCAAUCGGAACGUUGUGUAACGGCUCAUUAACGGCUAUAUUAUUAUUUUUUUUAUUUUUUUUCAAAUUCAAUAUCUAUAUGUAUACACACUCACAACUCAGAAUACCACAAAAAAUAUACACAACACCACACCAUUUUCUACAAAAGUGGAUUCUCCCACGUCUUCCUCAUCCGUUGCCAAUUAUUAUUACGAAGAGUUUAGCCGAUGCGGGCGAGUCGACCGACGAGGAGGUUGAGCAAGAGGCGGUUAUGAGUGGGUGUCAACUUGCGGCGAGGUAUAUGAAACACGUUAGUUGCCCUCCACGCCAAAAUUUUCCAAGAGAAUAUAUAGAACGAAACUGACUGUUGGCAAACGCUCGUUUGAUGAAAGAUUACCUUGACGAAGCACCGACUUACCCAAACCCAAACGUUUUUAGACGUCGUUUCCGGAUGAGUAAACGUUUAUUUGUAGGCAUUGCCGGAGACUAUUUCUACGCAUUGCCGGAGACUUGGAAAACAAGUUUGAUUACUUUAAGCAAAACCCAGAUGCGAGAGGGACGCUUGAAUUUAACGUUAUUCAAAAGUUGUACUUCAGCAUUACGCGUGCUUGCAUAGGGAAACACGAAGGACAUCAACGAUGAGUAUUUAAAGAUGGCUGAGAAAACAACGUGCAAUACCUUGGAGUAUUUUUGUCACGUUCGGUAUAUUCCAAACGAGGGUGGAGAAGAAGAGGAAGGCGAAGAUGAGGACGAAUGCCAAGAUGAAGACAAGUACGAAGAAAGUGAAAAUGAAAAUUAAGUCAAAUAUUAUUAUUUGUUUGUGUUUUAGUAUUUAUGUAAUUUUUAUUUAUUUAAUGAAAUAUUAUUUGUUUUAA